rnacentral:rRNA from 1 species
UCGAGCGAGAAAGGCCUUCGGGCUGAGUACAGCGGCGGACGGGUGAGUAACGCGUAGGAAUCUACCUGGUAGUGGGGGACAACAUGGGGAAACCCAUGCUAAUACCGCAUACGCCCUAUGGGGGAAAGCGGGGGACCUUCGGGCCUCGCGCUAUCAGAUGAGCCUGCGUAGGAUUAGCUUGUUGGUGAGGUAAAGGCUCACCAAGGCGACGAUCCUUAGCUGGUCUGAGAGGAUGAUCAGCCACACUGGGACUGAGACACGGCCCAGACUCCUACGGGAGGCAGCAGUGGGGAAUAUUGCGCAAUGGGCGAAAGCCUGACGCAGCCAUGCCGCGUGUGUGAAGAAGGCCUUCGGGUUGUAAAGCACUUUCAAUUGGGAAGAAAGGUUGUUGUCUAAUACGCAACAGCUGUGACGUUACCUUUAGAAGAAGCACCGGCUAACUCCGUGCCAGCAGCCGCGGUAAUACGGAGGGUGCGAGCGUUAAUCGGAAUUACUGGGCGUAAAGCGCGCGUAGGCGGUUUGUUAAGUCGGAUGUGAAAGCCCUGGGCUCAACCUGGGAACUGCAUACGAUACUGGCCGACUAGAGUACGAGAGAGGGAGGUAGAAUUCCACGUGUAGCGGUGAAAUGCGUAGAUAUGUGGAGGAAUACCGGUGGCGAAGGCGGCCUCCUGGCUCGAUACUGACGCUGAGGUGCGAAAGCGUGGGUAGCAAACAGGAUUAGAUACCCUGGUAGUCCACGCCGUAAACGAUGUCUACUAGCCGUUGGGAGACUUGAUUUCUUAGUGGCGCAGCUAACGCACUAAGUAGACCGCCUGGGGA